UACGAAGGGGGGCUAGCGUUGCUCGGAAUCACUGGGCGUAAAGGGUGCGUAGGCGGGUCUUUUAAGUCAGUGGUGAAAGCCCGGAGCUCAACUCCGGAACUGCCAUUGAAACUGUGAGACUUGAGUAUGAGAGAGGUGAGUGGAAUUCCGAGUGUAGAGGUGAAAUUCGUAGAUAUUCGGAGGAACACCAGUGGCGAAGGCGGCUCACUGGUCCGGUACUGACGCUGAGGUGCGAAAGCGUGGGGAGCAAACAGGG
rnacentral:rRNA from 1 species